AUUGAACGCUGGCGGCAGGCCUAACACAUGCAAGUCGAACGAGUGGCGGACGGGUGAGUAAUGUCUGGGAAACUGCCUGCUGGCGGGGGAUAACUACUGGAAACGGUAGCUAAUACCGCAUACUAUCAGAUGUGGCCAGAUGUGAGUGGCUUGUGGGUGGGGUAACGGGUCACCCGGACGACGAUCCCUAGCUGGUCUGAGAGGAUGACCAGCCGCACUGGAACUGAGACACUGUGCAGACUCCUACGGGAGGCAGCAGGGGGGAAUAUUACACAAUGGGAGCAAGCCUGAUGGAUCCAUGCCGCGUGUAUGAAGAGGGCCUUAGGGUUGUAAAGUACUUUCAGCGUGGAGGCGUUACCCGCAGAAGAAGCACCGGCUAACUCCGUGCCAGCAGCCGCGGUAAUUC
rnacentral:rRNA from 1 species